GUGUGGUCUUCCGGUCUAAAAAAUGCGUUACGUGGCCGCUUAUCUCCUUGCCAACCUUGGGGGUGUGAAACAGCCCACUGAAGCUGAUUUGGAGAAGAUUUUAGGCAGCGUUGGUAUUGAGGCCGAAGCCAGUAAAAUGAAGAAAGUCAUCUCACAGCUAAAGGACAAAGACCCAGCCACCCUCAU